rnacentral:rRNA from 1 species
UGGGGAAUCUUGCGCAAUGGACGAAAGUCUGACGCAGCGACGCCGCGUGGGUGAUGAAGGCCUUCGGGUUGUAAAGCCCUGUGGGGAGGGACGAAUAAGUUGCGGUUAAUACCCGCAGCGAUGACGGUACCUCCUUAGCAAGCACCGGCUAACUCUGUGCCAGCAGCCGCGGUAAGACAGAGGGUGCAAACGUUGUUCGGAAUUACUGGGCGUAAAGCGCGUGUAGGCGGCUAUGCAAGUCGGAUGUGAAAGCCCUCGGCUCAACCGGGGAAGUGCACCCGAAACUGCAAAGCUAGAGUCUCGGAGAGGAUCGUGGAAUUCUCGGUGUAGAGGUGAAAUUCGUAGAUAUCGAGAGGAACACCGGUGGCGAAGGCGGCGAUCUGGACGAUGACUGACGCUGAGACGCGAAAGCGUGGGGAGCAAACAG